rnacentral:tRNA from 2 species
CGGGGUAUAGCUCAGUGGUUAGAGCAGUCGGCUCAUAACCGAUUGGUCGCUGGUUCAAGUCCAGCUACCCCGACCA